rnacentral:rRNA from 1 species
GACGAACGCUGGCGGCGUGCUUAACACAUGCAAGUCGAACGGAAAGGCCCUGCUUUUGUGGGGUGCUCGAGUGGCGAACGGGUGAGUAACACGUGAGUAACCUGCCCUUGACUUUGGGAUAACUUCAGGAAACUGGGGCUAAUACCGGAUAGGAGCUCCUGCUGCAUGGUGGGGGUUGGAAAGUUUCGGCGGUUGGGGAUGGACUCGCGGCUUAUCAGCUUGUUGGUGGGGUAGUGGCUUACCAAGGCUUUGACGGGUAGACGGCCUGAGAGGGUGACCGGCCACAUGGGGACUGAGAUACGGCCCAGACUCCUACGGGAGGCAGCAGUGGGGAAUAUUGCACAAUGGGCGGGAGCCUGAUGCAGCAACGCCGCGUGCGGGAUGACGGCCUUCGGGUUGUAAACCGCUUUCGCCUGUGACGAAGCGUGAGUGACGGUAAUGGGUAAAGAAGCACCGGCUAACUACGUG